rnacentral:rRNA from 1 species
UCCUACGGGAGGCAGCAGUGAGGAAUAUUGGUCAAUGGGCGCGAGCCUGAACCAGCCAAGUCGCGUGAGGGAUGACGGCCCUACGGGUUGUAAACCUCUUUUGUCGGGGAACAAAGGCGGAGACGCGUCUCCGGAUGAGUGUACCCGAAGAAAAAGCAUCGGCUAACUCCGUGCCAGCAGCCGCGGUAAUACGGAGGAUGCGAGCGUUAUCCGGAUUUAUUGGGUUUAAAGGGUGCGCAGGCGGGAGAUCAAGUCAGCGGUAAAAAGUUGGGGCUCACCCCCGGCCGGCCGUUGGAAAUGGGUUU